rnacentral:rRNA from 1 species
UACGGGGGGAGCAAGCGUUGUUCGGAUUUACUGGGCGUAAAGGGCGCGUAGGCGGCCACCGCAAGUCAGUUGUGAAAUCUCUGGGCUUAACCCAGAAAGGUCAACUGAUACUGCGGGGCUAGAGUGCAGAAGGGGCAACUGGAAUUCUCGGUGUAGCGGUGAAAUGCGUAGAUAUCGGGAGGAACACCAAUGGCGAAGGCAGCUCGCUGGGACGUUACUGACGCUGAGACGCGAAAGCGUGGGGAGCAAACAGG